UUCUUCUAAUGUUCUCAUCUUCUUAGACGUCACAAUCUGACGUUUACGUCACUAACUCAGGUGUUUUCGUAAUUCGAAACCGGAAUGCGUUCUUCGAACGGUGUCGUUUUUCAGUCUAACAGUUUGAAACCGUGUGGCGAUGAAGUCGCCACGGCUACUUUUUAGUCCGUGUCUUUGACGAAAUAGACUUUUUUAACGGGGGAUUUACGGACAAUAUUAUAUCAUAUCAUGGCGUGCAGUAAAUCUUUGAAGGCUACAGAUCUCCAUUCGUCCUGGAAAGUCGAGUUUGACUGGAAGGAUUUUCCGGAAGAACUUGUUCAGGGAUGUUGUGCUGUUGCAUCUGUUUUGUGCGUGCCAACGGUGGCUGUUUUAUAUAGCCUUAUCACGGUCGCGGCUUUUGCUGUAAGCCAUGCACAAGUCUCUCCACCUGACACCAAAUGGAGGGAAAAUGUUCUUCUGUGGACAGCCAUCUGUCUGCCAACAGGCGCUGGGAAAUCUACUAUCUGUAAAUGGAUUCAAGAACUUGUGACUGAUGUUUACACGAAGUUGCGGAAAGACCAUACGGACAGUGGUAGUCCGUCUGCUGGGUUUACUUAUGUACUAAAUGGUGGAAGUACUUCAAUUAAUUGUUAAAUUACAAGGAAUAACAUAACAACUACUACUUCUUAUGAUACAAAGUAGUGAAAGAUGACUGCAAUACAUGUAGUUUAUAAAUAGAUAAGGCAGAUGUUUUCAG